GUUUCAGGAAAAAAAAAGAGAGAGAAGCAUUGAUUUUCAUAGAAAUGUGCCAUGUAACAUCAUGAGACAUCUAUUUCAUUUAUUAAACAGAAUACAUAGAAUCUCAUGCCAAUGCCAGACAUAUGGGAAUCCUAUCUGAGAGCUUUUCAAGGUCAAGAACCAUGUCUUGAUCAUACCUGUUUUCCCUAGUUCCUAGUACAGAGUAGAUAUAUGAGAAAAUAAGCCUUGCAAUUGAACUUGUUUGAUUAAUAAAUAUGAUAGCUGACAUGUAUAGAUUACUUACAAAAUUUCAGAUAACAUUCUGAGGUAUUACUAUUUUUCCUGUUUCGAUUAUGAAAACUGAGGCACAGAGAGGUUAAGUGACUUGCACAAGUUCACGCAGCUAAUAAAUGCCAAAGCCAGAAAUUUAAUGUAAGCAUUUAGGUCUUUAGUCUAUGCACUUGCCAUAAGCAAUGAACCUCUAGUACAGAACAGUGAGGAUAAUAUACUGCAGGUCUUCUACCUCCAAGGGAGUAAGACCCCGAAUGGAUGUGGAAGAAGUUAAUGCAGAAGCUCCCUGGGCACCAUGUAUUUUCUAGAAGCACUGGAGAACAAGCUGCAAUCUCUAAGCUCUUGCUACUAAAUCGUGGUGAACCAGCAGCAUCGGAACACCAGGGAGCUAAUUAAAAAUGCAGAAUGAAUGAAUCUGCACCUGAUGAGUCAUUCUGCACCUAAUGAAUCAAACUCUGCUUUUUGACAAGAUCACAGGUAAUUCAUGUACAUAUUAACGUUGAGUAGCACCACUCUAAAAAUAUUACCUAGACCAGUACAGUCCAAUAAAACUUUCUGCAAGGUAGAAAUGUUCUAUCUCUACACUAGUAACUAGCCACAGGUAGCUAUUACACUCUUGGGCCACAUGGCUAUUAAGCACAUGUGACUAAUACAGCUGAGGAAGUGAUUUCCUUAUGUUCUUUGGAUAAACUUAGAUUUAUUCAUUUAUUUAUCUAAUUUUUAAUUUUUUUUUAGAUGAGUCCCACUCUGUCACCCAGGCUGGAGUGCAGUGGCUCAAUCUCAGCUCACUGCCUCAGCCUCCUGAGUAGCUGGGAUUACAGGCAUACACUGUCAUGCCUGGCUAAUUAAAAAAAUUUUUUUUUUUUUUCCGUAGAGAUGGGGUUUUGCCAUAUUGGCCAGGCUAGUCUCAAAUUCCUGACCUCAGGUGAUCCACCCACCUCAACCUCCCAAAGUGCCAGGAUUAUAGGUGUGAGCCACUGCAUCCCACCAAACUUGGAUUUAAAUAGCCUCAUGUGUUUAAUGGCUACCAUUUUAGAUAGUAUAGGUUCUAGAUUUAUUGUUCUCCUCUGUUUAUUUCUCUGUGAUCCAAUAAUCUGUGUAAAGUUAAGAGUCCAAUCUUGAAACAGCUGUUAUGGAAAUGCAGUGGAGGAUUUUGUUUCUCCUCCUGACUUGGAGUGCAUCAUAGGAAGCGUGGAAUCAUAGCACUGAAAGCAUUUCAUGAUCUGGCCAAUCCUGUUCCAGGCCUGGCACACCUAUGUGCUUCUUCAGCAAUCUGUGCAUUUUCCUAUGCUUAGUAUUUAGUGUCAUCCUCUGCUUACCAAACUGUAUUCAAUGCCAACUGCAAGCUGUCCAAGCCCACAAUAAAACCUUAUUAGAAAACAUAAUAUAACCUUCAGGGCACCCUCAGGCAUAAGUAAGAGGAAAAUACUGUUCACUGGAAGCACGCCUUGCCCACCUUCUCAUUUUAAAUUAGCAUCCUCCUCUUCCACACUCCUUAGCUAUUUUCCAUGCCUUAUUUUGCUCUGUACCAUUUGACACAUAUUUGGAAGGAUAGAAAACCUUUUUCCUCUACCCUCCUAGGUUCUCUGGCUACGACCCUGCAAAUUAGACUGACACAAUUUAUAUUCACAGGAGAGAAACACAGUUUCUUAACACAUGAGAGAAACCUGAUGAUGAGUAACUCAAAGGAGUGGUUGAAAUUUGGACUUACGUAGCAUCUUAAAGAGCAAUAAAUUUGUAGAUAAAUGCUUAGACAAAGGAUAAAGUUUUAGGUUUCUUAGGUCUCCCGGGUUGGCAUCUGUGGGAAGGUAAGCAAAUGGGGAAACUAACAGUGUAAAGCUUGUUUAUUCAGUUACAUCUUGGUACUCACAUUCUGUCCUCUUCACAGCCAUGAAACUUCCCUGGGGAAGGUACGGUUGGGGGUGGGAUUUACAAAAGUCCUCAUUUCUCAGAAGUUUCCACUUUUAGUUAGAGAAGGCAAACUCUAGGAAGGCUUCUUUCUGCAUCUAUUGAAUCACAGAUGCCUCCAGCAUAAAGUAAUAUUUGUGCCAAAGUGACACAUUUUGGAGUGGCAUAUUUUGAUCCACUCUACAUGCUAUAUAUAUAUCUUUUUUUAAAGUUUAUUUAUUUAAUUUUUGAGACAGGGUCUUGCUCUGUCACCCAGGCUGAAGUGUAGUGGUGUGAUCAUAGCUUACUGUAGCCUCAAGUGAUCCUCCCACCUCAGCCUCUAAGGUAGCUGGGACCACAGUCACGUGCCAUCGUUCCUGGCUAAUUUUUUUGAGUUUUGGUUAAAAAAAAAAAAGGUCUCACCAUGUUCCCAUGCUGGUCUUGUACUUCUGAGCUCAAGAGAGUUUCCUGCCUUGGCCUCCCAAAGUGUUGGGAUUACAGACAUAAGCCACUGUGCUUGGCUUACAUAUUUUACUAGCUUAUUUGUAUGGCUUCAUUUCAAUGAAAGCUUUAUGAAGGCAAAUACUAAGUGUUUGAGAUAGAAAAAUAGACAUUCCAAUGGUUUUGUGUAUCUAGUUAUAUAGUAACAGCUACCAUAUAAUUAAGUUCCUGAUGUAUGCCAGGACCAUUCAAAGUACUGAACAAACAUAUCAUUUAAUUUCCUCAACAACCCUGAGAGAUCUGUGGUAUUGUACCCAUUAUUUUAGAUAAAGAAACUGAUAGUCAUAAAAAGUACAACCACUUUCCUAUUUGACUUCAACUGUUAAUUAUUUAAUUCGCUAUAGCCAUAUUAGAAAUAAUUGGGAUAACAAAGAUCUCUUAAUAGGAGGCACUGGAGCUGAUAAUGCUAAUAUCCAGAGAAAAGAAUCUGAUUAUCUUGGAAAGAGGUAUCUUCAGAGGCUAUUAACAUACAGCACUCUGUACUGACUUAUGCUUUACUUGGGGAAAAUUCAAAUUAAACUUGAUUGUCUCUUCUGCUGCUUCUUUUCUCCAUAUUAAUAGUUUAAUCUGCAUAGUGGGUGUUGGAUGUGCACCUUACGGCUGUUUAUAGCAAUUGGUGAAGUACUUAACAUUUUAAAGAAAUUAACUGUCUGGUGAAGAGGACUCCAGAGGACAGAAGAGCAAGAUAUAGACAGGAUGUCUGAUAAUUCUGGCAUUCUGGAAGAAGGAGGAUAAAUGGAGUCGCUUUCUCCUGGUUCUCCUCCAGACUUGCUGACUUCUCUCAUUUUUGGCUAUUGUUUCUUUUUUUUCUAAUUCCCUAAAUGUAGACAUACCCAAAGCUUAUCCUUGGCCAUCUCUUCCUCCAGUGCUGUGUUUCCUCCAUGGGGUAUUUCAUCCAUCUUGUGUCUCAGGAGGCAAGGCACCCUCUUCCCCCAAAAUAACCCUGUGGUUAUCUCAUCGACCUUCUUCAAGCAUGUGCCCAAUGCCCUAUUCUCGAUGAACCGCCUUUCUAAUUAGGUUUCUGAGUCGACGUCCAACUUAUUGAUUCCCAGUGCUGGGAUCUGAGCAACCCACUGUGGCAGCCUAAAUAGCAGUGAUAAGACUGAUGGUGCUCUUCUGCCCGGGAAUCUCUGGUCUGGCUUCCCUCUUGAGUCCGCAACAAGUGGCUCUGACUUCCCGGAGCUCCAAACUCCGGUCAGUAGGGGAAGCAGUCCCGUUGGCUCUGCAUGAAGAACUGCUGCGCCGAGACGCCUGCAAAACUGCUGCGGUGGCCAUAAGAGUCGCGCUGGCGACCCGUGGGGCUCCUCCACUGGGAAUCGGCUGAUUGGUGAGUGACGAAAAUUCGUCUAAAAGUGUGGCGUCGUCUCGUUCUCUGGGCUUUCACUGGGAGCUACAAUCCUGAGCUGUUAGUAGUCGGCCAUCUUGGAUCGAUCGAGGGCAGGAAUUUUUUUUUUAUCAUUUUAUUCUCAGUUGACUCCCAAGCACAUAAAUAGUACCAGACACAAAUUACUCAAUAAAUAUUUGUGGAAUGAAUACAUGGAUAAAUGAAUGAGAUUUCUUUUCAUUCUCAAUCCCCUUCUUAAGAGGAAGUUCUUCUGUAAGGCUACAUAAAGAAGCAAAAAAGAAAAAAAAAAAAAGGUCAAGCAUGGUGGCUUGUACCUGUAAUCCCAGCAUUUGGGAGAGCAAGGUAGGACGAUCACUUGAGCCCAGGAGUUCAAGACCAGCCUGAGCAACAUAGUGAGACCCCAUCUCUAUAAAAAACUUAAAAAUUGGCUGGAUGUGGUGCAUGUGCCUGUAGUCCCAGCUGCUCAGGAGGCUGAGGUAGCAGGAUCUUUUGAGCCCAGGAUUUCACGGUUGCAAUGUGCUAUGAUCAUGCCACUGCACUCCUGUAUCAGUGACAAAGUGAGACCCUGUUUCAAAAAAUAAGGAAGAAGAAGAAGGACGGGGAGGAGAAGGAGGAGGAAGAGGAAGGAGGAAGAAGAAGGAAGAAGAAGAAGAAAAAAAAGAAAGAUGAAGAAAGAAGGAGAAGAAGAAGGAGGAGGAGAAGAAACAACCUAGCAUGGUAACACAUCUAUAUUCAGCUGUGAGAUGGAUUUGGUGGUCAAAGUCAGCAAGAAGAGUUGUCUUAACAGAUACUCUGUUCUGAAGAAAAUGAAAGACUUAUUUUCUCCAGUGUCGAAAUGGAUCUGGAGUUGUGAUGACCUAGUUUGAAAACAGGAUACUGUUGGAAUACAGAGGAAUUCAUGAGGAAGCAGAUGGAAAGAAAUCAUGAAAGGAAGGAAAUUCCCAGAAGCUCAUCCAUGGGGGACUCAGCAUAGAUGAUAACAAUUGCUGACCGUUUAUUGAGAACUUAACAUGCACCAGGCACUCUUUUAAAUACUUUCUAAGGAUUAUCUCACACUGUAAUUAACCUUGUGAAAUAGGACCUACUAUUAUCCCCAUUUUCCAGAUGAGAAAAAUGAGGCAUGGCAAGUCAAUGUGCUCAAAGUCUUACAAUUACUAAUCCUAAAUUAUAAAUACUCUAGAAUUUGGGGAUUCAAAACCCUCAGCUCUUGAGCCUGUGCUCUUAAGUAUUAAGUUCCACUGCCUGAAAAAUAAAUAAACAAAAGUGUGAUUAAGUACUAGUGUCUGGACAUCUCUCUGGUAUUGGCUGAGCCUAUACAUGCUGUGCCAGUAACACGGUACUCCCUCACAACAUAGCAAAGCCAUCCUGCUUCCUAUGACAUCGAUACUUUCUGAAUGGUGUGGCAUUCAGCCUGAGACAGAUUUCCUACUGGCACAGACAAGACAAAAAUACUAACAUUUGGACUGUGUUUUAAAACCUAUGAAUAGAAAUAUUUUUAUUUGAUCCUCACAGAAAAUAUGUGAAGUAUUAUAAGCUGUCUCUCUUGAAGAAGGGAAAUCUAACACACAGCUAAUGAGCUGUGGUGUGGAGACCACAACCCCAGUCAUUUGGCCCAAGGUGCAUACUUUUUCCAUGACGCCAUGCUGCCAUCAACUACAGAAGGUUGUCUAGACCACUUCAACAUCUAGGAUCCCCAUUAGCCUAUUAAAAAUAGGAUAUCAUCUCUGUGUCAUUGAUCUUAAAGAAUGGUUGAUUAUAAUGCAACUAUGUUUAGGUCUUAAUUUUUGGGUUUCAGAUGCAAAGCUGGGGUAUAUAUCAAGGGUGUGUGUGUGUGUG